rnacentral:rRNA from 1 species
CCUACGGGGGGCUGCAGUGGGGAAUAUUGGACAAUGGGGGCAACCCUGAUCCAGCCAUGCCGCGUGUGUGAAGAAGGCCCUCGGGUUGUAAAGCACUUUCAGUGAGGAAGAACGCCUGGUGGUUAAUACCCAUCAGGAAAGACAUCACUCACAGAAGAAGCACCGGCUAACUCCGUGCCAGCAGCCGCGGUAAUACGGAGAGUGCGAGCGUUAAUCGGAAUUACUGGGCGUAAAGCGCGCGUAGGUGGCUUGAUAAGCCGGUUGUGAAAGCCCCGGGCUCAACCUGGGAACGGCAUCCGGAACUGUCAAGCUAGAGUGCAGGAGAGGAAGGUAGAAUUCCCGGUGUAGCGGUGAAAUGCGUAGAGAUCGGGAGGAAUACCAGUGGCGAAGGCGGCCUUCUGGACUGACACUGACACUGAGGUGCGAAAGCGUGGGUAGCAAACAGGAUUAGAUACCCUAGUAGUC